ACAAAGCGUUGAAAUCGCCACAUUGUGAUUUACUGUCAUAAAAAAGUAAAAGUCAAGGAGUGUCGAGGGUCCUUAAAUAGCUGUUCCUUUUCCGGUCAGUGUGUGAAACACUCUAAUCGGCGGUAGUGUUCAUUGCCAGACAUCGGUGGGAUUUGUGAAGGCCAAGUGGUCAGUGGAGAACAUUACCACCGAAGGACCUUACUAGUCCACGUAUUAGGACAACGACCAAAACGAACAUUUGUGUACUCUGUAUCUGAACCAAACUGUAUUAAAUAUGUAAAAAAGAAACAACUGUAAAUUUGUCUAAAAGUAAGUACCGGAAUAAAUUUUCAACAAAUAU
rnacentral:sRNA from 1 species